GGAAUCUUGGACAAUGGGGGAAACCCUGAUCCAGCCAUGCCGCGUGAGUGACGAAGGCCCUAUGGUCGUAAAGCUCUUUCGCCAGGGAAGAUAAUGACGGUACCUGGUACAGAAACCCCGCCUAACUCCGUGCCAGCAGCCGCGGUAAUACGGAGGGGGUUAGCGUUGUUCGGAAUUACUGGGCGUAAAGCGCACGUAGGCGGAUCUUUAAGUCGGGGGUGAAAUCCCGGGGCUCAACCCCGGAACUGCCUUCGAUACUGGGGGUCUUGAGGUCGAGAGAGGUGAGUGGAAUUCCGAGUGUAGAGGUGAAAUUCGUAGAUAUUCGGAGGAACACCAGUGGCGAAGGCGGCUCACUGGCUCGAUACUGACGCUGAGGUGCGAAAGCGUGGGGAGCAAAC
rnacentral:rRNA from 1 species